rnacentral:rRNA from 1 species
AGCGAACGCUGGCGGCAGGCUUAACACAUGCAAGUCUAACGGACGCAGCAAUGCGUCAGUGGCAGACGGGUGAGUAACACGUGGGAACGUGCCCUUCGGUUCGGAACAACCCAGGGAAACUUGGGCUAAUACCGGAUACGUCCGCAAGGAGAAAGAUUUAUCGCCGAAGGAUCGGCCCGCGUCUGAUUAGCUUGUUGGUGAGGUAACGGCUCACCAAGGCGACGAUCAGUAGCUGGUCUGAGAGGAUGAUCAGCCACACUGGGACUGAGACACGGCCCAGACUCCUACGGGAGGCUG